rnacentral:rRNA from 1 species
UACGAAGGGGGCUAGCGUUGCUCGGAUUUACUGGGCGUAAAGGGCGCGUAGGCGGACGAUCAAGUUGGGGGUGAAAGCCCGGGGCUCAACCUCGGAAUUGCCUUCAAAACUGAUCGUCUUGAGUAUGAGAGAGGUGUGUGGAACUCCGAGUGUAGAGGUGAAAUUCGUAGAUAUUCGGAAGAACACCAGUGGCGAAGGCGACACACUGGCUCAUUACUGACGCUGAGGCGCGAAAGCGUGGGGAGCAAACAGG